AGGACAAACGCUGGCGGCGUACCUAAGACAUGCAAGUCGAACGGAGCUCCGUGCUUCGGCGUGGAGUUGAGUGGCGAACGGGUGAGUAACGCGUAGGGAUCUAUCCUUGGAUGGGGGGACAACCGCGGGAAACCGCGGCUAAUACCGCAUGAUGCCUGAGGGCCAAAGCUCGCGAGAGCGUCCGGGGAGGAGCCUGCGUCCGAUUAGCUAGUUGGUGGGGUAACGGCCCACCAAGGCGACGAUCGGUAGCUGGUCUGAGAGGAUGAUCAGCCACACUGGGACUGAGACACGGCCCAGACUCCUACGGGAGGCAGCAGUGGGGAAUAUUGGGACAAUGGGCGCAAGCCUGAUCCAGCAAUGCCGCGUGGGUGAAGAAGGUCUUCGGAUUGUAAAGCCUUUCGGCGGGACGAUGAUGACGGUACCCGCAGAAGAAGCCCCGGCUAACUUCGCGCCAGCAGCCGC
rnacentral:rRNA from 1 species